rnacentral:rRNA from 1 species
GAUGAACGCUAGCUACAGGCUUAACACAUGCAAGUCGAGGGGAAACGAUAUUGGAAGCUUGCUUCCGAUAGGCGUCGACCGGCGCACGGGUGAGUAACGCGUAUCCAACCUGCCCAUCACUUGGGGAUAACCUUGCGAAAGUAAGACUAAUACCCAAUGACGUCUCUAGAAGACAUCUGAAAGAGAUUAAAGAUUUAUCGGUGAUGGAUGGGGAUGCGUCUGAUUAGCUUGUUGGCGGGGUAACGGCCCACCAAGGCGACGAUCAGUAGGGGUUCUGAGAGGAAGGUCCCCCCACAUUGGAACUGAGACACGGUCCAAACUCCUACGGGAGGCAGCAGUGAGGAAUAUUGGUCAAUGGACGAGAGUCUGAACCAGCCAAGUAGCGUGCAGGAUGACGGCCCUAUGGGUUGUAAACUGCUUUUAUAAGGGAAUAAAGUGAGUCUCGUGAGACUUUUUGCAUGUACCUUAUGAAUAAGGACCGGCUAAUUCCGUGCCAGCAG